CGCACAUUGCGCCCUUUGGUAUUCCAAAGGGCAUGCCUGUUUGAGCGUCAUUUCUCUCUCAAACCUCCGGGUUUGGUAUUGAGUGAUACUCUUAGUCGGACUAGGCGUUUGCUUGAAAAGUAUUGGCAUGAGUGUACUGGAUAGUACGUUCUGAUUAUUCAAUGUAUUAGGUUUAUCCAACUCGUUGAAGGAUCAGGUGUAAAUUUCUGGUGUAUUGGCUCGGCCUUACAACAACAAACAAGUUUGACCUCAAAUCAGGUAGGAUUACCCGCUGAACUUAA
rnacentral:misc_RNA from 1 species